rnacentral:rRNA from 1 species
GUCCAUGCCCUAAACUUUGUGUACUUGAUGUGGGAGACUAGAUCUCUCGCGUCGGAGCUAACGCGUUAAGUACACCGCCUGGGGAGUACGGCCGCAAGGUUAAAACUCAAAGGAAUUGACGGGGGCCCGCACAAGCAGUGGAGCAUGUGGUUUAAUUCGAUGCAACGCGAAAACCUUACCCUGGUUUUUGAAUAUUAUCGGUGUAGAGAUACACCUUCUACGGAUAAUUCAUAAGGUGCUGCAUGGCUGUCGU